AUACGGAGGAUGCGAGCGUUAUCCGGAUUUAUUGGGUUUAAAGGGUGCGUAGGCUGUUUUUCAAGUCAGGGGUGAAAUGCCGGGGCUCAACUCCGGAGCUGCCUUUGAUACUGGGAGGCUGGAAUACUGUUGCCGUGGGAGGAAUGAGUAGUGUAGCGGUGAAAUGCAUAGAUAUUACUCAGAACACCGAUUGCGAAGGCAUCUCACGAAGCAGUGAUUGACACUGAGGCACGAAAGCGUGGGGAUCAAACAGGGUUAGAUACCCUGGUAGUCCACGCAGUAAACGAUGAUAACUAACCGUUGGCGAUAGACAGCCAGUGGCCAAGCGAAAGCGAUAAGUUAUCCACCUGGGGAGUACGACCGCAAGGUUGAAACUCAAAGGAAUUGACGGGG
rnacentral:rRNA from 1 species